UCGACAGGUACGCACGAAAGCCGUUUCGUCCUCAUUAAUUUCAGGUUUCCAAGAAUCCUACGUACCGACAGACGAAACAUUCCGGCUUUCUUUUUCUACAUAUCCUUUGUCCUUCAUCCUGUGUAUAAGAUCAAAUAAAAGAAGAAUCAUUUUCUUCAUCAUAAGGGGGCAGGAUGCUCAUCGUGCAAAGAACUAGCAAACAUUC